GGGGGCGUUCUGGUUUGGCAACUUGAGGUGGGGGUUUGAAAGCAUGGGUAGGGAACAGGAUUAGAUACCCUGGUAGUCCAGCCCUAAACGAUGAGUGAUAGGUGUUGGAGGGUUUCCGCCCUUCAGUGCGGAAGCUAAACGCAUUAAGCACUCCGCCUGGGGAGUACGACCGCAAGGUUGAAACUCAAAGGAAUUGACGGGGGCCCGCACAAGCGGUGGAGCAUGUGGUUUAAUUCGAAGCUACGCGAAGAACCUUACCAGGUCUUGACAUCUUGCGCUAACCUUAGAGAUAAGGCGUUCCCUUCGGGGACGCAAUGACAGGUGGUGCAUGGUCGUCGUCAGCUCGUGUCGUGAGAUGUUGGGUUAAGUCCCGCAACGAGCGCAACCCUUGUUACUAGUUGCCAGCAUUAAGUUGGGCACUCUAGUGAGACUGCCGGUGACAAACCGGAGGAAGGUGGGGAGGACGUCAGAUCAUCAUGCCCCUUAUGACCUGGGCUACACACGUGCUACAAUGGACGGUACAACGAGUCGCAAGCUCGCGAGAGUAAGCUAAUCUCAGAAAAGUCACCUCAGUUCGGAUUGUAGUCUGCAACUCGACUACAUGAAGCUGGAAUCGCUAGUAAUCGCAGAUCAGAAUGCUGCGGUGAAUACGUUCAAAGGGUCUUGUACUCACCGCCCGUCA
rnacentral:rRNA from 1 species